ACUCAAAUGAAUUGACGGGGACCCGCACAAGCGGUGGAGCAUGUGCAUUAAUACGUCACAAACCGUAGAACCUUACCAGGGUUUGACAUCCUCUGACAGCCUGUGAAAGCAGGUUUUCUUCGCAAGAAGACAGAGAGACAGGUGUUGCAUGGCUGUCGUCAGCUCGUGUCGUGAGAUGUUGGGUUAAGUCCCGCAACGAGCGCAACCCUCACCCUAUGUUGCCAGCGUAAAGACGGGAACUCUUAGGGAACUGCCCGUGUAAGCGGGAGGAAGGUGGGGAUGACGUCAAGUCAGCAUGGCCCUUACAUCCUGGGCUUGACACAUGCUACAAUGGCCGUUAAACAAAGGGAAGCAAUACCGCGAGGUGGAGCCAAUCUCAAAAAUACGGUCUCAGUUCGGAUUGCAGGCUGCAACUCGCCUGCAUGAAGUCGGAAUCGCUAGUAACCGCCGGUCAGCUAAACGGCGGUGAAUACGUUCCCGGGUCUUGUACACACCGCCCGU
rnacentral:rRNA from 1 species